rnacentral:rRNA from 1 species
UACGUAGGGUGCAAGCGUUAAUCGGAAUUACUGGGCGUAAAGCGUGCGCAGGCGGCUUUGCAAGACAGAUGUGAAAUCCCCGGGCUUAACCUGGGAACUGCAUUUGUGACUGCAUGGCUAGAGUGCGGCAGAGGGGGAUGGAAUUCCGCGUGUAGCAGUGAAAUGCGUAGAUAUGCGGAGGAACACCGAUGGCGAAGGCAAUCCCCUGGGCCUGCACUGACGCUCAUGCACGAAAGCAUGGGGAGCGAACGGG